CCUACGGGAGGCAGCAGUAGGGAAUAUUGCUCAAUGGGGGAAACCCUGAAGCAGCAACGCCGCGUGGAGGAUGAAGGUUUUCGGAUUGUAAACUCCUUUUGUUAGAGAAGAUAAUGACGGUAUCUAACGAAUAAGCACCGGCUAACUCCGUGCCAGCAGCCACGGUAAUACGGAGGGUGCAAGCGUUACUCGGAAUCACUGGGCGGAAAGAGCGCGUAGGCGGGAUAGCAAGUCAGAUGUGAAAUCCUAUGGCUUAACCAUAGAACUGCAUUUGAAACUGUUAUUCUAGAGUAUGGGAGAGGUAGGUGGAAUUCUUGGUGUAGGGGUAAAAUCCGUAGAGAUCAAGAGGAAUACUCAUUGCGAAGGCGACCUGCUAGAACAUAACUGACGCUGAUGCGCGAAAGCGUGGGGAGCAAACAGGAUUAGAUACCCCAGUAGUC
rnacentral:rRNA from 1 species